ACGGGAGGCAGCAGUGGGGAAUAUUGCACAAUGGGCGCAAGCCUGAUGCAGCGAUGCCGCGUGAGGGAAGAAGGUUUUCGGAUUGUAAACCUCUGUCAACAGGGACGAAAAUGACGGUACCUGUGAAGGAAGCUCCGGCUAACUACGUGCCAGCAGCCGCGGUAAUACGUAGGGAGCAAGCGUUAUCCGGAUUUACUGGGUGUAAAGGGAGCGUAGACGGCAUGGCAAGCCAGAUGUGAAAGGCAGGGGCUCAACUCCUGGACUGCAUUUGGAACUGUCAAGCUAGAGUAUCGGAGAGGUAAGUGGAAUUCCUAGUGUAGCGGUGAAAUGCGUAGAUAUUAGGAGGAACACCAGUGGCGAAGGCGGCUUGCUGGACGAUAACUGACGUUGAGGCUCGAAAGCGUGGGGAGCAAACAGGAUUAGAUACCCUGGUA
rnacentral:rRNA from 1 species